rnacentral:misc_RNA from 1 species
UCGGGUCACCCCGCCUGCCUGACGCUCGGCUCGGCCCGCGUGAAGAGCAGAGAAGCGAGGCCAGUCAGUCUGUCUUCGGACGGUGUAUGGGUAGGACGUGUAGCCUCUCGCUCCUCCAGUCAAGCGUCAUGCCUCCCGCCGCGGCCACGGGAGUAGGGAAAAGUGGUCAUGCAGCCCUCACGUGCCCCUGGCCUUAGGUACCCGUAGCGGGAAAGCCUUAGAUACCUAUCCACGUUUACAUGGGCUGGAUUCUUAGCGUGGAACAUUUCUUAGAUUUUUAGACACAGCGGUGGUGGAAGGCGCCUCUCAAGGGGAGAUCUAACCCGCCGCGAGUGACAGUAGGGUGUUGUGCCGUGCGUCGUGCCUCGUGCCUUCCCUUCCCUUGCCCCCUGACCCUUGUCCCCCCACCGCCAUGCAGGGAGUAAGGGAGCUCCUGCUGGCCCUGCUGCUGCUGCUCCUCCUCCGUGGUCUACACGCGAGUUGGGACGAGUGGUGGACGUAUGACGGGAUAUCUGGGCCGGAGUUCUGGGGGCUGAUUAACCCGAACUGGAAUAUGUGCGAGAAGGGUCGGCGCCAGUCCCCCAUUAACAUCGAGCCUGACAAGUUGGUUUACGAUCCCCAUCUCCGCCACGUGCAUAUCGACAAGCACCGGGUGUCGGGGACGCUGUUCAACACUGGGCAGAGCGUGAUCUUCAAGGUGGAGAAGGGAACGAAACACCACGUGAACAUAACAGGCGGUCCGUUGGUGUACAAGUAUCGCUUCGAGGACCUUUACAUUCACUUUGGGGACGCCAAUGCAAAGGGGUCGGAGCACCAGAUUGGGGGCACCACCUUCCCUGCAGAGAUCCAAAUGUACGGAUUCAAUGUUGACCUGUACAAGAACAUGACCGAGGCACGACUAGGAUCAAAUGGCAUUGUGGGUCUUUCCAUCAUGAUUCAGGUAGGGGAGAACGGUAACGAUGAGCUGCGAAUCCUGUCCUCGGGGUUCGGUAAGGUGACGUACAGGGGACAGCGUUGGCCAAUCCGUCACCUCUCCCUGGCCGGACUCUUGCCCAGCACCCACCACUACAUGACCUACGACGGCUCCACCACCCACCCUGGCUGCUGGGAGACCACGACUUGGCUCAUCAUGAACAAGCCCAUCUAUAUUACCAAGCAGGAGUUGUAUGCUCUCCGCCAGCUAAUGCAAGGUGAUGCGCAGCUGCCCAAGGCUAAGAUGGCAAAUAACUUCCGUCCCGUGAAGGCCCUGCAUCACCGUACUGUGAGGACCAAUAUUGACUUCACUAACGCCCAUCGCUCCAAGGCCUGCCCCACCAUGCACCAGGAGAGGUUUUACGCGGCGCGCCAGUGGCCAAAGCUAUAGCCAACUCUGUGGGUGUAGCGGGCCUGGCGCGGCGAGGCAGAGGAGCUGACAUACAUUGGCUAGAACAUCCUCGCCUCUGCCCCGGCAAGUCUCUCCCAGCCCGGCUAGCAGGGGACACUGAAACACUACAGGAAGGGACACGUGUAGCAGACCAGAUGGUGUGAACACAAGCGAUGAGGUUCCCCACUCGUCGUGACAGAGGAGUGAGUGUUCCGCCAGCUUGCCAUGGACCAGAGUGAGAGGACUUCGUGACUCGCCUGGUGUUCCUUAAUGAGCGGCAGUGACUCGCCUGGUGUUGACUCGGCAGUGACUCGUCUCAUCACAUUACAAAAUAAAUGCAGGAAUAAUGAAAAGAAAAAAACGUUGAAAAAAUACAUCAUGAAAUAGAAUAAAUGUAUAAAUGAAAAUAAUGCAAAACUAAUGGUUAUAAAAUAGUAAAUAAAAUAGUAAAAGAAAUAUUAUUCAUCUCCUUAAAGUGAUGUAUAGCUGUGCCACUAAUUAAAGAAAAGAAAAAGUAUGAAUUAGAAUAUAAAAAAAACAUUUAAAUCAAGGUCAAUAAAUAACAGGUGUAAAUUGCAAAGAUAAAUAUUUCCUUUAAUAAUCAAGUAAAGGUCAGACUAAAUGAACAGGUAACAAGUGAAGCAAAUAAAUGAGAUGAAAACAUAGAGAAAACAAAAGAACAUAAAUAUUUCAAAAUCAAAUAACUACAUAUCCACUUUAAUAAGAGCACAUGCAGGUGAGACUGAAUGAACAGGUGUAAAUAAAACAACAUGACAGUAAGAAAUAAAGAAUACAAGAGAAACAUUCCAAAAAUUAAUGAGUAACAAACUAACCUUCACCUUAAUGGAAGAAUAUGCUGGUGAAAUUAAUUGUACAGGAGUGAAUAGGUAAAACAGGCAGGUGAAGUGACUAACAGUAAGAAAUCAAUGCGUAGACAAAUAAUCCUCACUUCACUAGAAACAAACAGGUGUGAAUAGGUAACAGGUGAGAUAUAUGAGACAAUCUAAACAAAAAUAACUCCUAUCUUGAAAUCAGUCAAGUAAUUCCACGCAGACACAAAGCACAGGUGAUAAAGAAACAGGUGUAUUCCAUGAAGUAGUUAACAACAUUCCAUGGAGAUUGAAUGCACAGGUGUGAAUUUGUAGGUAACAGGUGAGUCACGGCGCCCUCUCCUCGUUACCUGGGCGCUGGCAGGUGAGAGGCGCUACACAAUACCUGUUGUUUACUUUCAGAAGCCGCCCAAUCACCUCUGUGGGCGGCCAUAACUCCCCCCUUUUCCCUGCUCUCUCCCUCCCUUCCUCCUCCCCUCCCUCUGGUUUGCUGGCAUAAGAUCACGUGAUUGUUUAUUUUACGCUACUGUUUUAUACUGUCGCAUCUGUCUGUCUGUCUGUCUGUCUGGUCUUUUAUUCUGUCUCUGGUUUAUUUAUCUUUUUAUCUUAUCUGUCUAUAUCUUUCCUUCUGUCUGGCUGUCGUUUUUUUUUUUUUCUUCUUUUCUGGCAAGUCAAUUGUUGUUUUGGGCAUCUUAUUUUCUUUGUCCAUUUACAUGACUGUUAUUUUACUCGUCCUCUCUCUCGGUCUGUCUAUCGACUUUAAUUCUUUCUAGUUUAAUCAACACACAGUUUUUUUUUAACUCUGUAUGUCUGUCUAUCUGUCUGUCUGUCUGUCUGUCUGUCUCUCAUAUCUGGCUGAAGGUAAUUCCAUCAGAAUGAAAAAAUAAAGGCACUCAUUCCCUAAGUGUUUCAUGUAAUAUCAUCAAUUGAAUACAUAAUGAUCAAAGCGUUACAAAAUGGAAUAAAACGAGUCAAGAAAAAAGGCUGGAAAAAACAUUAAUUCCAUCCAUACCGAACUUAAUGUAGAGCGAAUCAUAAUGGAAAAAGUUCAGAAUUACACUAGAGAGAAGAUUAAACGAAAUGGGAUAUCAUCGAAUUGAGUUUACUUUAUCAUUAUUAGUUUCUCUCUCUUUCACUCUUACAUUUUUUUUUUUUAUUUCAUUUCGUUCAGUUUCUUAUUGACAAAACUUUCUCAACCCGGAAAUCUCAAGGCAAGUAACAAUUUUUGAAUCUGGGAACGAACACACUUUUCGGAAAAUCGUUGAAAGAGUUGCGCGCGCUCUCCUCUGCUACACCUUGUAUGUAUGUAUAUAUCCAAUGCCAAAUGUCCUCGUCCUUGUCUUUAUGCCUUGUUGAGAAAGACGCCAGCACUGCUCAGGCAGACGACGGCCCGCGUUUUAUUGAGGAGGAGGAGGAAGAAGAAGAGGAGUAGAAGGAGGAGUAAGGGACAGAGAGAGAUGGAACAGAAUAAAGGGAAGGGAGAGGAAGAAGGAAUGGAAAUACAGAUAUGAG